AUUGAACGCUGGCGGCAGGCCUAACACAUGCAAGUCGAGCGGCAGCGGGAAAGUAGCUUGCUACUUUUGCCGGCGAGCGGCGGACGGGUGAGUAAUGCCUGGGGAUCUGCCCAGUCGAGGGGGAUAACUACUGGAAACGGUAGCUAAUACCGCAUACGCCCUACGGGGGAAAGCAGGGGACCUUCGGGCCUUGCGCGAUUGGAUGAACCCAGGUGGGAUUAGCUAGUUGGUGAGGUAAUGGCUCACCAAGGCGACGAUCCCUAGCUGGUCUGAGAGGAUGAUCAGCCACACUGGAACUGCGACACGGGCCAGACUCCUACGGGAGGCAGCAGUGGGGAAUAUUGCACAAGGGGGGAAACCCUGAUGCAGCCAUGCCGCGUGUGUGAAGAAGGCCUUCGGGUUGUAAAGCACUUUCAGCGAGGAGGAAAGGUUGGUAGCUAAUAACUGCCAGCUGUGACGUUACUCGCAGAAGAAGCACCGGCUAACUCCGUGCCAGCCGCCGCAGUAACAC
rnacentral:rRNA from 1 species